CAAGGGGGAGAUUGAGUAUCCAGUGGAAUAUUCCAGUAUCUGGUUCCAGUACUUGAUCUUAGCAACCAACUAUAUAUAUAUCCCAAGGCGCUUAAAGUCUGAGCCCACUCUAAAUGGCUCAGUACCAUGUGAGUGGGACCAAUUAGUUUUAAUCUGUUUUAAAGUGUUGUAUACAGAUUUCACUAUGAUCUGUUUUUUUUUUUGUUUUUUUUUUAGGUUUUAUCCUAUUUGAUGGUAAUUUGCAUGUGUAGGUUAUUUCAUACAUUUUUAGUGUGCUCUCACCAACUUUUUAUUCACUUUAUAGUAUUUUAUUUUGUGUGGUUUGGGUGACCUACACUAGGUGAUUUGAG